rnacentral:rRNA from 1 species
GAUGAACGCUGGCGGCGUGCUUAACACAUGUAAGUCGAACGGAAAGGCCCAAGCUUGCUUGGGUACUCGAGUGGCGAACGGGUGAGUAACACGUGGGUGAUCUGCCCUGCACUUCGGGAUAAGCCUGGGAAACUGGGUCUAAUACCGGUUAGGACGAUGGUUUGGAUGCCCUUGUGGAAAGUUUUUUCGGUGUGGGAUGAGCUCGCUGCCUAUCAGCUUGUUGGUGGGGUAAUGGCCUACCAACGCGUCGACGGGUAGCCGGCCUGAGAGGGUGUACGGCCACAUUUGGACUGAGAUACGGCCCAGACUCCUACGGGAGGCAGCAGUGGGGAAUAUUGCACAGUGGGCGCAAGCCUGAUGCAGCGACGCCGCGUGGGGGAUGACAGCCUUCGGGUUGUAAACUCCUUUCGCUGGGGACGAAGCGUUUUUGUGACGGUACCUGGAGAAGAAGCACCGGCUAGCUACGUG